rnacentral:sRNA from 1 species
UUGAUAGCCCUAGAUAGUGAAGGCCUAUAUUUGUCUAUUGAAAAUGCUCAGCUUUGGCAGUCUCUGUGUAUGCUUCAGCACUCUGUCCCAUCAGAAUAUCUCAACCCCACUUCAAAAUUUCCACUUCUAGGUGAGAGGGUAGUGCAGCCUCCAUGCCCAUCCAAUCCUUGGUGCAU